UGUUGUUACUGAUCUUCCGACACGUGAGAGAGAACCUUAGGCAGCUCUUCGUUUGGUUCUAAGAGGAUCAUCUAUAUCUGGAGUUACGGUUCUGCUGCAUCAGGAUGAUGGGGCAUGGCGACAGCGGGAGGAGGAGAAAGACAAAGAGAAGACAGUUCAGACAGCGCAGCUUAUAUACGACAAGAGAUGAGAGGAGUGAUGCAUCAGAACAGGCAGCAGCUGAUAAGCAUCACGCAGCAUAAAGACUUGAAAAGAGGGAAACAUGGAGUAAAGAUCAACUCAAGAGAAACUAAACCUGCCUUUUACACUAAUUAGUAUGUGAUAUCCCAUCUGUCCUCUUCACACCAUAACGUCCAGCCGAGCAACUGUCCAGCUACUGACCUUCUGGCAGAUGGUUUGAGGGAAGAGGACCGUGUUGGCAUCGGCAUCAGUCUCCCUCUUGAAUCAACCAGGUCAUCGCUUUUAGAGCGCGGCACAGUUUUUCCUGUAAAACAGGCACAGAUCACAGAAAGUCC